UGAACGCUGGCGGCGUGCCUAAUACAUGCAAGUCGAGCGAACAGACGAGGAGCUUGCUCCUCUGACGUUAGCGGCGGACGGGUGAGUAACACGUGGAUAACCUACCUAUAAGACUGGGAUAACUUCGGGAAACCGGAGCUAAUACCGGAUAAUAUAUUGAACCGCAUGGUUCAAUAGUGAAAGACGGUUUUGCUGUCACUUAUAGAUGGAUCCGCGCCGCAUUAGCUAGUUGGUAAGGUAACGGCUUACCAAGGCGACGAUGCGUAGCCGACCUGAGAGGGUGAUCGGCCACACUGGAACUGAGACACGGUCCAGACUCCUACGGGAGGCAGCAGUAGGGAAUCUUCCGCAAUGGGCGAAAGCCUGACGGAGCAACGCCGCGUGAGUGAUGAAGGUCUUCGGAUCGUAAAACUCUGUUAUUAGGGAAGAACAAAUGUGUAAGUAACUAUGCACGUCUUGACGGUACCUAAUCAGAAAGCCACGACUAACUACGUG
rnacentral:rRNA from 1 species